ensembl:lncRNA
CUCCUCUCUUUCUCUCUCCUCUCUCUCUCACUCCUCUCUCUCUCCUCCCUUUCUCUCUCCCCUCUCUUUCUCUCUUCCCUCUCUCCCUCUCCUCUUUCUCUCUCACUCCUCUCUCUCUCUCUCUCUUUCUCUCUCCUCUCUCACUCUCUCUCUCUCUCUCACUCCUCUCCCCUCUCUCUCUUCCUCUCUUUCUCUCUCCUCUCUUUCUCUCUCCUCUCUUUCUCUCUCCUCUCUUUCUCUCUCCUCUCUUCUCUCUUUCUUCUCUCUCUCUCUCUCUCUUAUCUCCCUCUUUCUCUCUCCUCUAUCUGUCCUCUCUUUCUCUCUCCUAUCUUUCUCUCUCUCCUCUCUCUCACUCCUCUCUCUCUCUCUGUCUCUCCUCUCUCGCUCUCCUCUCUCCUCUCCUUUCUCUCCUCUCUUUCUCUCUCCCCUCUUUCUCUCUCUUCUCUCGCUCUCUCCUCUCUCAAUCUCUCCCUCACUCCUCUUUCUCCCCUCUUUCUCUCUCCUCUUCCUCUCUCCUCUCUUGCGCUCUCCUCUCUCCCCUCUUUCUCUCUCAUCUCUUUCUCUCCUCUCUUUCUCUCUCCUCUCUCUCUCUCUCUUAUCUCCCUCUGUCCUAUCUUUCUCCUAACUUUCUCUCCCUCUUCUCUUCCUCUCCCCCCUCUCUCCUCUCUUGCACUCCUCUCUCUUUCCUCUCUCCUCUCUUUCUCUCUCUCCUCUUUCUGUCUCCUCUCUCUCUCACUCCUCUCCUCUCUUUCUCUCUCCUCUCUCUCACUCCUCUCUCACUCUCUCCCUCUCUCUCAUCUCUUCCUAUUUCUCUCUCCUCUCUUUCUCUCCCCUCUCUUUCUCUCUCCUCUCUCUUUCUCUCUCCUCUCUCUCUCUCUCUCUCUCUCCUUUCUCUCACUUCUCUCUCGCUCUCUCCCUCACUCCUCUCUCUCUCCCCUCUCUCUCUCCACUUUCUCUCCCCUCUCUCUCUCACUCCUCUCUUUCUCCUCUCUUCCUCUCUCGCCUCUUUCUCUCUCCUCUCUUCCUCACUCCUCUCUCACUUCUCUCUCGCUCCUCUCUCCUCUCUUUCUCUCUCCCUAUUUAUCUCUCCUCUCUUUCUCUCUCCCCUCUCUCUCACUCUCCCUCUUUCUCUCGCCUCUCUCUCUCCUCUUUUUCUCUCUCCCCCUCUCUCCUCUCUCUCACUCUCUUGCUCUCUCCCUCUCUUUCCUCUCUUUUGCUCUCCUCUCUUCCUAUUUCUCUCUCCUCUCUUUCUCAUUCUCUCCUCUCUCUCCCCACUCUCUCUCUCUCCCUCUUUCUCUCUCCUCUCUCCCUCUUUCUCUCUCACUCUCUCCUCUCCCUCUUUCUAUCUCCUCUCUUUCCCUCUCCUCUCUCCCUCUUUCUCUCUCCUCUCUCUCUCUUUCUCUCUCCUCUCUUCCUCUUUCUCUCUCAUCUCUUUCUCUCUCCUCUCUCUGUCCUAUCUUUCUCUCUCAUAUCUUUCUCCCUCUCCUCUUUUCCUCUCUAUCCCCCUCUCUCCUCUCUUCCUCGCUCUCCCCCUCUCUCCUCUCUUGCACUCUCCUCUCUCUCUCCUCUCUUUCCCUCUCAUCUCUUCCUCUCUAUCCCCCUCUCUCCUCUCUUGCACUCUCAUCUAUCUCCUCUCUUUCUCUCUCCUCUCUCCCUCUUUCUCUCUCACUCCUCUCACUCUCUCCUCUCCCUCUUUCUCUCUCUCAUCUAUUUCUCUCUCCUCUCUUUCUCUCUCCUCUCUCAUCUCCCUCUCUCCUCUUUCUGUCCUAUCUUUCUCUCUCAUAUCUUUCUCUCUCUCCCCCUCUCUCCUCUCUUGCACUCUCUUCUCCCCCCUCUCUCCUCUCUUGCACUCUCCUCUCUCUCCUCUCUUUCUCUCUCUCCUCUUUCUGUCUCCUCUCUCUCUCACUCCUCUCUCUCUCCUCUCUUUCUCUCUCCCCUCUUUCUCUCUCCUCUCUUCCUCUCUCCUCUCUCACUUCUCUCUCGCUCCUCUCUCCUCUCUUUCUCUCUCCCUAUUUAUCUCUCCUCUCUUUCUCUCUCCUCUCUUUCUCUCUCCUCUCUCUCUCCUCUCUCCCUCUCUCUCUCUCCUCUCUUUCUCUCACUCUCCCUCUUUCUCUCUCCCCCACUCAUUCUCUUGUUCAAUACCUCUCUUUCUCUCUCACUCUCCUCUCUUUCUCUCUCCUCUUUCUCUCUCCUCUAUCUCUACCUCUUUCUCUCUCCUCUCUCAUCUCCCUCUCUCCUCUUUCUGUCCUAUCUUUCUCUCUCAUAUCUUUCUCUCUCUCCCCCUCUCUCCUCUCUUGCACUCUCUUCUCCCCCCUCUCUCCUCUCUUGCACUCUCCUCUCUCUCCUCUCUUUCUCUCUCUCCUCUUUCUCUCUCCUCUCUCUCCCCUCUCUCCCUCUCUCUCUCUCCUCUCUUUCUCUCACUCUCCCUCUUUCUCUCUCCCCCACUCAUUCUCUUGUUCAAUACCUCUCUUUCUCUCUCACUCUCUCCUCUUUCUCUCUCCUCUCUUUCUCUCUCCUCUAUCUCUACCUCUUUCUCUCUCCUCUCUUUCUCUCUCUCUCUCUCUGGCUCAUUCGCUCUCCCUCUUUCUCUCUCCCCCACUCAUUCUCUUGUUCAAUACCUCUCUUUCUCUCUCACUCUCCUCUCUUUCUCUCUCCUCUUUCUCUCUCCUCUAUCUCUACCUCUUUCUCUCUCCUCUCUCAUCUCCCUCUCUCCUCUUUCUGUCCUAUCUUUCUCUCUCAUAUCUUUCUCUCUCUCCCCCUCUCUCCUCUCUUGCACUCUCUUCUCCCCCCUCUCUCCUCUCUUGCACUCUCCUCUCUCUCCUCUCUUUCUCUCUCUCCUCUUUCUGUCUCCUCUCUCUCUCACUCCUCUCUCUCUCCUCUCUUUCUCUCUCCCCUCUUUCUCUCUCCUCUCUUCCUCUCUCCUCCUAUCCUCUCUCUCACUCAUCUCUCUCUCCUCUCUCUCCCCUCUCUCUCACUCCUCUCUUUCUCCUCUGUUUCUCUCUCCUCUGUUUCUCUCUCUCCCCUCUUUCUCUCUCCUCUCUUCCUCACUCCUCUAUCUUCCCCUCUCUCCUCUCUCUCACUCUCUCCCUCCUCUCUUCCUAUUUCUCUCUCCCUUCUUUCUCUCUCCUCUCUCUCCUCUCUUGCUCUCUCCCAUCUUUCCCUCUCCUCUCUCUCCCCUCUCUCCCUCUCUCUCUCUCCUCUCUUUCUCUCACUCUCCCUCUUUCUCUCUCCCCCACUCAUUCUCUUGUUCAAUACCUCUCUUUCUCUCUCACUCUCCUCUCUUUCUCUCUCCUCUUUCUCUCUCCUCUCUUUCUCUCUCCUCUCUCUCUACCUCUUUCCCUCUCCUCUCUUUCUCUCUCUGGCUCUUUCUCUCAACUCUCUGGCUCUUUCUCUCUCCUCUCUGGCUCGUUCUCUCUCAACUCUCUCUGUCUCUUUCUCUCUCCACUCUCUGGCUCUUUAUCUCUCCUCUUUUUCUCUCUCUCUCUCCCUCUGGCUCUUUCACUCUCCUCUCUUUGGCUCGUUCUCUAUCCUCUCUCUCCCUCUUUCUCUCUCUUUCUCUCUCCUCUCUUCUCUCAGAGUGGGGAGUGGAAGGGAGGGGAGGCAGGGGACACUCAGUCAUAUCCAUGCACAUGGACACAGACGGAUAAGUUGAACAAGAAUAAAAAUCAAAGCUUUCAAUUAGUAAAAGUCUGGCUGACUCAGGUGUUGUUGAACUGCCUGUCUUUCAUAAUCAUUGCAUUCCUAUUGUAUUGUUUUUGCAAACAUUAG